GGAGAAUCAUCUCUUUCUACAAUGUCGCUUGGCUGUUGGGUAACCCUAAGGUAUUGGAAAACCUCCAAUCCUAGCAGGCUUGAUUUGGUAUAAUGCAUGAAGAAAGAUAGCAAACUUUUUAAGGUGAUGAGAAACAUGGUUACACUUUGAUGUUUGUUCUCCAUGGUUUCAAUAAGUAGUUUCAACUGUCAAACUAUAUAUUAUAGAUGGAGGUUCUUCAACAGGAGACAAUUUUGCUCAUGAGUGAUGUAGAAGGAAGAAGUUGAGAGGGUAUUAGAGGAGGAAUGGGCAAUCUUCAAUGUCAAAUGGCAAGCUAGAAAGAAGCAGGCACCUCCAUCAUUGAGGAGAGUCAAAAUUGUAUGGAAUGAAAGUAACAAGGAUUAACUGAGAGUUCCAAAUGAAUUGCAUUGAGGAUAUUUAUAGCAAGAAAGAGGAAUUUGGUUAAGAAAGCAAAAAUAAAUGUCAUGCGUGCACUAGUGAAUGCACAAUGGGCAUUUAGGCAUACUUAGAAAGGUUGGAGAUAUGUACUUUCCCUAACGAGCAAUUUUUUAUCCCACCAAGUCAAAACACCUUAGAUUCCUAUUGGUAAUGCACCUGCUGCUUAAUCCAAAUCUUUUAGUUGUAGAUGACCUAUUCUUGAGCAGCUUCUCCAAAUCAUUAGAAGAGACUUGUAAUUUCUGCAUGUGGCAUCUAAAUAUUGUAAAAUACAACAAAUUGAAUGUAAAUAUUUUUUCAAACUCAAGGUUUUCGUUUGGUUAGCAAUACUCAACUGGAUUAAUACCAACAAUUUGUUGUAGGUGACCUCUUUCUUUCUCUCUAUAUCUCUUGCUCCCUGCCUCCCCCUCUUUCUUUAAAUUAGCUUUUUGCACAUUUGGAUAGGCUUUUUGUUGCAUUUUGCAAAUAUUGGCGUGCCAAAAAGAUACGGUGAAUUAAGCAGUCACUAAUUCCGUGAAAGGAUUUUAUGGUAUGCUAUAGUUGUGUUUAUUUGGUGUGUCUAGUUAGAGAGAGGUGAUGCAGUCAAGGAAGACUA
rnacentral:misc_RNA from 1 species